rnacentral:rRNA from 1 species
GAAUCAGGUAGGACUACCCGCUGAACUUAAGCAUAUCAUAANGCGGAGGA